rnacentral:rRNA from 1 species
UGGGGAAUUUUGGACAAUGGGGGCAACCCUGAUCCAGCCAUUCCGCGUGAGUGAAGAAGGCCUUCGGGUUGUAAAGCUCUUUCGGCAGGAACGAAACGGCGAGCUCUAACAUAGCUUGCUAAUGACGGUACCUGAAGAAGAAGCACCGGCUAACUACGUGCCAGCAGCCGCGGUAAUACGUAGGGUGCGAGCGUUAAUCGGAAUUACUGGGCGUAAAGCGUGCGCAGGCGGUUAUGUAAGACAGAUGUGAAAUCCCCGGGCUCAACCUGGGACCUGCAUUUGUGACUGCAUAGCUAGAGUACGGCAGAGGGGGAUGGAAUUCCGCGUGUAGCAGUGAAAUGCGUAGAUAUGCGGAGGAACACCGAUGGCGAAGGCAAUCCCCUGGACCUGUACUGACGCUCAUGCACGAAAGCGUGGGGAGCAAACA